AUUUAUGUAGUAUAAAAAUUAUUUUUGACUUCCAAUCAGAAGAUCUGACUAAUCAGCAUAAGUA
rnacentral:tRNA from 1 species